rnacentral:rRNA from 1 species
UACGGAGGGGGUUAGCGUUGUUCGGAAUUACUGGGCGUAAAGCGCGCGUAGGCGGAUUAGAAAGUUGGGGGUGAAAUCCCGGGGCUCAACCCUAAAAUGUCGAUCGAUACUGGUAGUCUUGAGUUCGAGAGAGGUGAGUGGAAUUCCGAGUGUAGAGGUGAAAUUCGUAGAUAUUCGGAGGAACACCAGUGGCGAAGGCGGCUCACUGGCUCGAUACUGACGCUGAGGUGCGAAAGCGUGGGGAGCAAACAGG